AAUUCACUAGUGAUUGAAACGACUGCUAAGACUGGAUAGGAAGAAAUAAGGCAUCUUAUUUCUUUUAAAAGACCUAGUAAUAGGUAUACUUUAGGAGGGGCUUGCGCCAUAUUAGUUAGUUGGUAGGGUAAUGGCCUACCAAGACGAUGAUGUGUAGCUGGACUGAGAGGUUGAACAGCCACAUUGGGACUGAGACACGGGCCCAAACUCCUACGGGAGGCGGCAGUAAGGAAUUUUCGGCAAUGGAGGAGACUCUGACCGAGCAACGCCGCGUGAACGACGAAGUACUUUGGUAUGUAAAGUUCUUUUAUCAAGGAAGAAAAGCAAGUGGCGAACCAUUUGUUUGCCGGUACUUGAUGAAUAAGCCCCGGCUAAUUAUGUGCCAGCAGCCGCGGUAAGACAUAAGGGGCAAGUGUUAUCCGGAAUUAUUGGGCGUAAAGGGUGCGUAGGCGGUCUAGUAAGUCAGUGGUGUAAUGGCAACGCUCAACGUUGUCCGGCUAUUGAAACUGCUAAACUUGAGUUAGAUAGAGGCGAGUGGAAUUCCAUGUGUAGCGGUAAAAUGCGUAAAUAUAUGGAGGAACACCAGAGGCGUAGGCGGCUCGCUGGGUCUUAACUGACGCUGAGGCACGAAAGCGUGGGGAGCAAACAGGAUUAGAUACCCUGGUAGUCCACGCCGUAAACGAUGAGUACUAAGUGUCGGGUUAAACCGGUACUGAAGUUAACACAUUAAGUACUCCGCCUGAGUAGUACGUACGCAAGUAUGAAACUUAAAGGAAUUGACGGGACUCCGCACAAGCGGUGGAUCAUGUUGUUUAAUUCGAAGAUACCCGAAAAACCUUACCAGGUCUUGACAUGUUUUUGCGAAACGGUAGUAAUAUCGUAGAGGUUAUCAGAAACACAGGUGGUGCAUGGUUGUCGUCAGCUCGUGUCGUGAGAUGUUAGGUUAAGUCCUAAAACGAGCGAAACCCUUAUCGUUAGUUGCCAGCACGUUAUGGUGGGGACUUUAACGAGACUGCCAAUGAUAAAUUGGAGGAAGGUGAGGAUCACGUCAAAUCAGCAUGCCCCUUAUGACCCGGGCUACAAACGUGAUACAAUGGCUGUUACAAAGGGUAGCUGAAACGCAAGUUCUUGGCCAAUCCCCAAAAACAGUCCCAGUCCGGAUUGAAGUCUGCAACUCGACUUCAUGAAGUUGGAAUCGCUAGUAAUCGCGAAUCAGCAUGUCGCGGUGAAUACGUUCGCGGGGUUUGUACACACCGCCCGUCAAAUCG
rnacentral:rRNA from 1 species